GGGGAUUUAGCUCAGCGGCAUAAGCGCCUGCCUUGUAAGCAGGCCAUCAUGGGUUCGAUCCCCGGUACCG
rfam:Cavia porcellus supercont2_3 genomic scaffold, whole genome shotgun sequence.